rnacentral:lncRNA from 1 species
CUUGGAAGCUGGUUUUCCAGGUCUUGGUUGUCUGGGCACAGCGGAGGCGGCCGUAUCAAAGCCACUGUGUGGAGGAGACACAUUGAGCCAAUGAUCAGCCAGUAAUUCUCAGCCUUGGGGGAGCCUGGUGGGGCCGCCAUACACUGUGAUAGCGUUGCUUGGUUUAAAGGUUCCUCUAACUUUGCGCACUUUUUCCUUUUUAGUUUUGGCUCUUGGGACUCUGAGAGCCACCCCUUCCUGCCCGGCUGGCUCGUUACCGCAGGGAAAAUGAGGGACUUUUGGGGGCAGAUGUGUUUCCAUUCCACUAUCAUAAUGCCCCUAAAAAUCCUUAUUGCUCUUGCAGUAUUCUUCGGGGGUCCCUGGGCCAGCCGGGCGCGUGGGGAAGACGGCAGCUCUGAGUGCCUCCAGCAACUAGAAGAAGAGAGAAAGAAGUUCCCCCACAUUCUCCCUUCUGGUCCCUGGUCCAUCUCCCCUCAGAGCUCAGAACUGUUCACUGCCCGAAAAGUAAAAAGACACCAUCCACAGACACUGGUGGCUCAACGUGCCUUUUGCCCUCCGGGGGCAGAAUGUUGGAGAUCAGGCCUGGGAACAGCAGGGCAGCUGUGGCUGCUGUCAGCGUUUGCUCUGGGGGUUUGUCAGGGGAGGUGGGGAAAGUGGAAGAGAAACAAGUGUUACCUGUUUGACGAGGCAGGCGUAUUUCACCGUUCAGCCUGGUCCUUCCAGUGGGGCCUCUGGGAUCCUCACCUUGGCAGGGGGCCCUGGGCAGUCCUGGCUUGCUCACCUGCUCCUGAGACAGGCCACUUUCCCACUCUCUGCCUCGGUUUCCCUGUCUGCCAAGGGAGGGGCAGCACCCCAUGCUCUUGGCCUCAAAGGGUUCUUGGUUGUACCCAACAUUAUAAUGAGCUCAAGUGAUACGCAAGCUCCGAAGCUGCUUGGAAAAUGGGGAAGUCAAGUUAUUAAACAUGGGAGGUGUUGGUGCUAAUGUUUACUAAUACACACCUAACGUGCUGAGACAGUUCAGACAGGAGGGGAGACUGUCGCCCAACAGUGUAAGCACCGGUUUCUGGAAUCAGCCAGUCAGAACUCUGAGACUCUUUUGCUGUGUCACCCCAGGCAAGUGACUCAACCUCUCUGGGCCUCCAUUUCCUCACACAUGAAACCCACGUUUUGGAACAGAAGUUUGCCAAGUCUGAUAUGCACAUCUACUCAAUGAGUUUAAGUGGUACCUGGCUAAAGAUGGAAAUUAUUCUCAUAGGUAUUUCUUUGUACAGCUUAUCUCUAUUUAUGGCAAGCAGUUUGUUUUCGGUUUAGGGUAGGGAUAGAAAGGCCUUUUUUUAUACCAAUUUAUGCAGGUAAAGAUAGAUGAGUUGCUGGAAAGAAAAGCAUUAAGCAAAUAAUAAUACAGGUGGCCUGAGGAUGGGGCAGAAAUCAAGAUGCCAGUUUGCAAAGUUUCAUACGUCGGCUUACUUAAGAAUUCUUGUUUGUCUUGGGAGUUUUGCAUCCACAUAGUUGGUGUGGGGAGGAGAUGGGUGGGUUGCUAAUUCAAAUCUCUGGAGGGCUCCACCAUGAUAGUCUGAGUGUCACAAGUCUUCCCUUCUCGGGGGGAUGGGAGGGGGCCCACCUCUCUGCUCACCGAUGCCAGGGAGACCCCUCAGACCUCCAGCCCUGCACUGACCCCUAGCUUUGACUUGUCUCAUUUUAGGAUCACGAUGACCCAGUGCCCUCCUUCCUGGCCAGGGCACCUCUCUGGGCCUCAGUUUUCUCAGUGAAAUGGGGAGAAUAACAAACUCUGUCCCAUAGCUGUGUGUGAAGAUGGAAGGGUUAACAGGGCUCCAUCGGGCGCUGAUCCUUCACAAACAGCACCCACUCGGAGGGCAGUGGGCCCCAGCGGCGCUGGACACGCGGGGGGCGCUCCUUCCACAGGCCACCCUGCGCCACCCGGCACCAGCUCCCUGCCCACCCCCUGGGAGGGUGGCUUUGCAGGGAAACAGCAGGCAGCCAGCAGGGGCGGACUCUGGUUUCACUUUCUGCUGUGUCAUGGAGUCGGGGGUGGCAUCGGGGCCCAGCUGGCCAGCUGGGGCGGGCACCGAGAGGCCAGCGGACAGCUGCCGGCCCAGCUGCCAGAGCACAAGCCGCGCCCCCCUGCGGCCUGCCAGGGUGGGGGCUGGGUCCUCGGGUGCCCCUUAAGGGCCUCUCCUCCCACACGGUGGGGAGAACCCCAGGCGAGAAAAGCCAGGAGCGGGUGAGAUCGUUUCUUGAGCUGUGGGAUCCCCCAAAAGCAACUUCUCAAGUCACGCAGCCUUGAAGUUCUGAGAAGUGCAGCUGUGGGUUCUGGAUCAGGGUGUGCUGGCUGGACACCUGCUCCCUGCCUCCCUUCACUGGGCACAUGGUGGGUGAGGGCCUACUGUGUGCUAAGCAGUGUGCCAGGUGCCGGGGGUACAACAGGGAGCAGGACAGCCCCUGCCCUCAUGGGGCUCCCAGUUAAGUCUGGGAGAUGGACAAAAGAGCGAGCAAGAGAGAAUCCCGCGUUAUGGGGGAAAUUCCAGCCUGAACGUCUGGUGCUAGCAUCUCAGGGCAGGGGCGUGCCUGCGUAUGCACCUAUGUGUGUCAGCAACGUGUCACCUCCUGGGACACAACGGUAGGUUAAGAAUACAGACCCAGGGGCCAGAGGUCCUGUAUUUGAAUUUCCACUGACUGGUGCGUGACCUCAGGCAAGUGGUCUCUCCUCUUUGGGCCUCAGUUUCCCCGUCUGUAGGUGCAAGAAUGAGAGUAUUUACAUGGUAGCGCUGCGGCGAGGAUGAAAUAAACGAGCGUCCGUAGAGAAUGGAGGACAGCGCCUGGCAUCGACCGUGUGCUGUGUAAGUCUUAGAAUAAUAAAUGCGCGCUCUUGUAAGAUGAAAUGCGGCCGUCACGGCGGGCUGAGCACAGCGGGAGUGCUGUGGGGUCCAUCCCCUCUGCCAUGCGCUUGCCAUGCUUUCUCAGGAGCCACAACCAGCCCUCCGAUGUCCUUACCAUCUUGUUCAGAUGAGGAAACUGAGGCUCAGGCAGAUAAAGAGGCCUGUCCCAGGUCCCCAGCUGGAAAGGAGUUGGGCCACCAUGCAGGGCCGGCUUUGCAGUGGUGGGGCCCUGCACUUGGUUUAAUGCUCUGCUGUUGUCUUAAAUUCUCAAUCAUUUUGGAAACAGGAGCCCCGAGUUUUCAUUUUGCAAAUUAUGGAGCCCGUCCUCCCCAGACCGGACUUAGUCCAAAGCCAUCACUCUUAACGACUCCCAACCAUAUGUCAUACAGCCGGCUCCAGAAUUUUCCAGAUCAUCGACACAGGGCUUAUGGAGGGACUGAAAUCCUGGGAAGAAUAUGAAGCCUUUCUCCUGGGCUCAAUUGCCCAAGUGCCUGUUUGUCUGUGGCCCCAGUGGAAGGCAGGUGGGGAGGGCAGGGCUCGGACUCAUUCAUUGCCGUGUCCCCAGAGCCUCGCUUGUAUUAGCUUCUCAGUUAAUAGUUGUGAAAACAGGUGAACAGGAGGCUGCUGUCUCUCCGAAACAAACCUACGUAAAUGACCCCUUCCAGGAGAGCGGGUCGUCAGGGGUGCAGUGUACACCCUGGCCGGCCCAGCAGGCUUCCGGACAACCCCUGAAGGCGUGGAGACGCACGGCUCUCUUCCCCAUGCCCCAAACCUGUGUGCCAAUACCUUUAACCGAUUACUGUUUAACAGGUUCUGGUGGGGAGCCCGGAGACAACACAAAUAUUUAAAGACAUGCGGGCCUGGAUUCCUGAGUGCCUGGUGUUAAGAAAGACGCAGAGUUCAGCCAAAAGAAUACGCAGGUUGUAGUUCUGGGCCGGUUCAAGUCCCAGCCCAGGGGCGGGGGCACAGUUUCUUGGACUGUUAAAUGACAGGGUUUGGGGGCCAGCCUGGUGGUGUAGUGGUUAAGUUCGAAUGCUCCGCUUCAGCAGGUGGGGUUUCCCAAUUCAGAUCCUGGGUGUGGACCUACACAGCAGUCAUCAAGCCGUGCUGUGGCAGCAUCCUACAUACAAAAAAUAGAGGAAGAUUGGCACAGAUGUUAGCUCAGGGCCAAUCUUCCUCACCAAAAAAAAAAGAUAGGGUUUGAAUUAAAGGUCCUUUUUCCUCUGAAAUUAGAGUUCUUCUACAUUCUCAAAGCUCCAAAUGAUAAAUAUGACUAAGAAGCAAAGAAUCAUCUCAAAGCCUUUAAAAUAUUUAUAACAAUAAUAAACAUUUGUAUGUUUUUGCCUGCUGAUUUCACAGGCUUUCUCUCCAUUGCUUCAGAUAACCCUGUGAAGUAGGAAUUACCCUCAUUUUCUAACAACCAUCAUAACCACCAGCAUAUAUUGAGUGCUGUAUAUGGACUAGGCACUGGACACACGGGAAGUCAUUUUAGUUUCUCAAGUGACGCAUGAGGCAGGCACUGUUAUUAGCUACUGCCUACUGAUUAGGAAACAUGCCAAAGAGAGGAACUGACUUGUCUAAGGUCACACACCCACCAGGUGAUGAGUUGGGGUUCAAGCCUGGAUCUUCCAUCUCAGGGGUCAGCCAACUUUUUCUGGAAAGGGCCACAUACUAAAUAUUUUAGGCGUUGCAGGCCGUGCAGUCUGUGUCACAGCUGUUCCACUCUGCUGUUGUAAUAAGAAAGCAUCCGCAGAUAAUACGUAAAGGAAUGGACGUGGCUGUAUGUUCCAAUAAAACUUUAUUUACAAAAACAGGAAGUGGGCCAAGUUUGGCCCACAGGUUAUGGUUUGUCCACCCGUGUGGCAGAGGCCCAAAGCUGCCUUCCAGUUAGGAAGAACAUGGCCCUGGCAGUGUGAGUCACCUGGGAGGUGACUGAGUUACGUUUCAGAGCAGAGACCGCUGGCAUGCAGGGAGAGAGUGGAGGCGAGAGAGGACAUUUCCCAGAGGCAGGAAGCUGGAGCCCAGGGCUUCCUGGCAGGAGGGGUGGGGGAAGGCAUGAUUUUUUUUUUUAAACAGUUUGAUUGAGAUAUAAUUCACUUAUCAUACAAUUCACCCCUUUAAAGUGCAGAGUUCAUUGGCCUUGAGUAUAUUCACAGAGUUGUGCAACUGUCAUUAUCAUCAAUUUCAGAACAUUUUCAUCACCUCAAAAAGAAACCCCGUAACCUUUACAGCAGUCACCCACCCUAAUCGUUCUGUCUCUGUAGAUUUGCCUGUUCUGGAUAUUUCAUAUACAGUCACAUGUCGCUUAACAACAGGGAUACGUUCUGAGAAAUGUGUCAUUAGGUGAUGUCAUCAUUGUUCAAACAUCACAGAGUGUAGGUACACAAACCUAGAUGGCACAGCCCACUACACACCUAGGCUCUAUGGUACUGAUCUUACAGGACCACCAUUGCAUAUGUGGUCUGUCAUUGACCAAAACAUCCUUAUGUGGUGCAUGACUGUAAAUGGAAUCAUACAGGAUGUGGUCCUUUGUGACUGCCUGGUUUUUUUCAAAUCUCUUUAUUGUUUUGUGUUUUUUUUGGUGAGGAUGCUUUGCCCUGAGCUAGCAUCUAUUGCCAAUCUUCCUCUAUUUUGUAUACGGGAUGCUGCCACAGCAUGGCUUCAUGAGCAGUGUGUAGGUCCGUGCCCAGGAUCCGUACCCACAAAUCCUGGGCCACUGAAGCAGAGCGUGCAAACUUAACCACAAUACCACCAGGGACCCCUGGCUUUUUUCACAUAGCGUUAUGUUCCCAAGGUUCAUCCACAUUGUAGCACGUGUCAGAACUUCACUUCUUUAUAUGGCUGAAUAACACUCACAUUUUAUUUAUCCCUUUGUCACUUGAUAGACAUUUGGAUUGAUGAUAUUUUGGGCUAUUAUAAUAAUGCAGCUAUGAACAUUCAUGUGUGAGUUUUUGUGUGGCCUUCCAUUUUCAUUUCUCUUGAGUAUAUACCCAGGAGUGGAAUUGCUGGGUCAUACAGAGACUCCAUUUUAACAUUUUGAGGAAGUGCCAGAGGCACGUUUUAUACUGUUUUUUUCAGCUUUAUAGGAUGGACGGAAAGUAGAGAAAAUACUGUGAGGAGCACCCCGUAGCCAUCAUCCAGGCUCAGCGAUGAUCGCCCUUCUUCUGGGCUUGUUUCACCCCCUCCCCUUCUCCACCGUUGUUACCCACUGAGUAGUUUGAAGCUGCUUCAAACCCUGCCUGUCUUGUUCGCUUGGCUCAGAGGUCAACUUUUGCUUUUGUUCCAAGUUGUCUACACCCAUAUUCUUGGGCAGAUGGAGUUUGGGGAGAAUGGAGGAGUUGGGGCAGAGUCGAGAGUGGGUCAGUGUGGGGUGGGAAAGGAAUAGCUCCUGAGUGAUGCAGGACGGGCUGUGUGAUUUACAAAAUGAAAAUACGGAGCCCUUUGUUCAGAAAUUAUCGAGAAGUGCAAGAUGACGACAGCAGAGCAGUAAACCAAACCUGGGCCCUGUGCACGGCCCAGGUCUCGUGCCCAUGUGGCCGGCCAAAGGGUGCCCUAGCAGCACGGAUGUGUUCGACACAGGAAUGUAGAGCCGUGGGCGUCUGGGAGAGACGAGGACCCCUUACCCCCAAUCCCUGGAAACGUUCCAAGGAAAGUUUGGGUCUCCCAUGGCACUCUGGACAGGGUUCAAGCCCGUUUCAUUUGAAUCUCUAAAAAUAAGAUGACCCCAGGUGACAUGUGGGUUGUAAGUACUUUUAAAAAAUAGCCCCUUGUCUUACUAAGCCUUCUUCCCUAAGAGCCUGCAGUUGUUUUAUUUGGCCACACCAUUUUGUCCUGGGCUCUGAGCGUGCUCGGGUGUCACAGCGAAUGACAGGCUGCGGUCUGCAGAACAGAGGGCUGCUGGUUAGCAACCAACGCGGAGCAGGGAUGCCCAGGAGAGGCAGGUGGCCCUGGCACAUCUUGGCAACCAGUGUGGCACCCAGCCCCUCCCAGACAGAGCUCCACUAGCCUUCUCCAAGGAUGGCCUCCACCAACCAGAGGAACCUUAGUUCCUGUGCUUAUCUAGACUCUCCACCCAAGAAUCCACCCAGAGACUCAGAGCCCACAGUGUGUUGGGAUGGCACCCAAGGAUGUGCUUGCACUAACAGAACCUCGUCAUGAAGGGGUGUGCAACUCGACUGGGAAGGACAGGCGGGGACUCAGUGAGGAAGGCACAGACGAGGAUUUGCACUCCCCCCUGUUCUCCGCAGGGUGCUCAAUGAGUGAAGGAAUGUUCAUUCAUUCAUUCUGUUAUUUGAAUGCCUAUGGUACACGACGGGGCUGUAUGCCGGCCAUGAUCAAUACAGUAACCGACGAGACAGAGCCAGUUCCUACUCUUAAGGGCGGGAGAGGCAAUCAUAAACCAAACACGAACAACAAAACAUUUUAAAUUUGAUUAAAAUAAUGUAAUGAUUGCUAAAAACAACUACAGCCACAGGUCUGAGUAAAUCCUGCUCGCAGCUUCCGGGUUUGUAGACAGCCAGCGUGGAUCUCAAAGCAAAGGCCCAAUUUACGACUGAGGUCGGUCUCAGCAGUGAGCUUAGAAGCAGCAAAGCCAGGAGAAGGCUCCAGAGGAGGUAGGUGGCUCUGCUUUUUCUCUUAUUUUUCUGCCAGCACCUUCUACCCCACUUCCGGUAACAGACCAGACACCCAGUGGGCCUACGGCCUCCAUCCUGCUACAGUAAUUGGUCCAGGUGGGGACACGUGACCCAAUGUGGCCAAUCACAGCAGCCCACCUCUGAGCCGGGCCACAGUGAUUGGUCCAGUGUGGUCAUGUGACCCAAGCGUGGCCAAUCCAGGAUGGUCCUUACUACAGCUGGGGAAAGGUUGCCGCUUUCUCCCUCAGCAUCCAGAGCUGCUUGUGACCCCAGAGACCCCAGGCACAGAGGGCAGGGGAGAUGAGAGAUAGGGUGGAGGGAGGGGAGUAGGAGAGAGGUGCGCUGCCCUGUGACCCCAGAGCCUUCCAGCCCUGCGUCCAAGAGCAGCCCAGCUUCUCCCUUUCUUCACCGUAGCUCCCCGAGUGAAUUAAAUCCCCAUCUUGCCUCAAUCCGAUCAACUCUGGUUUCUGUGCGGCCCAACACGUCCCAAUUUAGGGCGUGGGACUGUUUCCCUCUUCGUGGACUGUGUGAAACUAAAAGGGGUAGGUCAGCCUCAGAGCUCAUUCUCCCCGGGCUGUGCCUCCAGCACUUGAGAAUAAAAGCAUCGCCAGACACAUCUCCAUCCCCCCAUUAAUUUCCCACUGAAUCAGAGCUAAACACUUGCUCUUGGACUUCAGGUUCCACCCUAUUGCUGCUUGCCUCCGUCUCCCCAACCUCACCCCGAAAACACCCCCUUCUCCUCUUUGCUGCGCUCUCCACCAUGGGCGGAGCGUGCUGCUUGUCCCGGCCGCUGCUCCGAUGCCCCCCAUGUUAUAUUUGUAAUGAUUUUGUUUGACUGGUUCCCCCCAUGAGUGGGGACCUUGAGCAUGGGGACCCGGGCUUCCCCCAUCUUCGUACCCCGGGUGCUGGCGUGCAGCAGGCAGACAGCAAGCGUGGGAGGGCGGGAGGCAGGGAAGGAUGGAGGAGGGGAGAAAGGGAUGUUCAUUCCUGUUUAUUCUGGUCCAACCAGUGGUCCCUUGGAAGGUCAAGUUUAUAUUCGUUUCCUCUGCUGGAGACUCCUGCGUCAGGUAGACACAGAGCUGUUUCCCUCAUCUCCUUCAGGCCUCUACUCCAAAGUCACCUUCCCCCGGGAACUGCGUUCUCCCAGUCCCCUUCUCGACCCCUGUCCCUCUUCCAUGCUUUCUUGUCCUCUUUAGCACCCUCCACCACCAUCGCUCCUUCUCUGUGGUCCAUUUCUUUUACUUACUCUCUCUCUCACUGAAAUGUCAGCUCCAGGUGGACAGGCAUCUUUGUUUUCUUCUCUGCUGUCUGUAUCCUCAGCACCUAGAACCGUGCUUGUCACCCGGUAGACGCUCAGUACCUAUCUGUGGAAUGAAUGAAUGAAUGAAUGAAUGCUUUGUGUUCACCAAACCACAGUUCUAGCAAACUUGUUUCUUAAAGAACCUAUGCGCUCCAUGCAUUUUCCAGGUGUUAGGAAAGUCAGGUGACGUGUGAGUUUCCCAGGGCCGCUGUAGCAAAUUACUACACAUUGAGUGGCUUAAAACAACAGGAAUUUAUUAUUUCACAGUUCUGGAGGCUAGAAACCCAAAAUCUGGCGGGGCUGCACUGACCCCAGGGGCUCCGGGGGAAAAUCUGUUCCUUGCCUCUUCCAGCUUCCGGUGGCUCCGUGACUUGUGGGCACAUCACUCCAGUCUCUGCUUCUGUCUUCAUAUGUUCUUCUUCUCCCUGUGUUUGUCUGUGCUUCUGUCUUAGAAGAAGGCAUGUGAUUGCUUUUACUGCUUAUCCAGAUAACCCAGGACAAACUCCUCUCCAGAUCCCUAACUGGAUCACCUCUUUUGUCAUAUAAGGUCAUAUUCACGGGUUCCAGGAACUGGAAGGUGGGCAUACCUUUCUGUUUUUCACAUCUCUUUUUUCACAUUUCUCUUUCAAUCCAUCCAGCCCUUACUGGUUAUUUGCAUAAAGACCAGAAAAGCAGAUUCCCACCACUACUGCAUUGGCCUCACAGAUAUUUAACGAAAAGAGUAUUAUUGUUGUAUUAUCUUGCUCCCAUCCGAGUGUGGAAAUGAUUUUUAAAACACCAUUUUAUGUUUUUGAUUUAUCCUGAUUUUUAAAAAUAAUACCGUGCUUAUGGUAAAAAAAAAAUAGUACAGAAGAGAAAAAUGUGGGAAAUAAAGGAGCGUCUUUGCAAUUUUUCUCUAACUCCAAUUUCACUUUCUGAAAAGUAGCUACUGUAUGCGGUUGGCAUAAUCGUCAUAAAUUUUCUAAGCAUUUUCGAGUGCCUGCACUUUCUCUGCUCAUAACGUUAAGAAAAUCGGGUGUGCUCCCAUAUAUCCUGAAGACACGACAGCCCUCAGACCCACCGCCUUCUUUUUAAAGCCUUGUAGCAUGGCACCGUACCCAGCCUGUCCCUCACUGGCUGACGUUUCAGGUAACUCGAGGAUUUUGCUGUUAUAACAUAUAUAUUUUUGGCAUGUGUCCAAGUAGACUUACAGGAUACAUUCCUAGAAGUGGUCUUUCUCAGUGAGAGGAUAGGUGCAUUUUUAAUUUCUACAGCGACUGCCCAGUGUUCUUCCAAAAGGUUGUAUCAUUCACACGCCCAUCAACGGUGUACGUGCUGUUUCCAGCACCCUCGCCCAACCUGGCAAAGACGCGGUGUGUCAGGGGAAGCAAAUCCUAAAUGAGGUAAGUGGACUUUCCCUGUGGCCUGGGUAGGGGUGGACAUGGCCUCCGAGGUUGUCCCUGUGGCUCUCUGAGGUGCUAAGCCGUCCAGAGCUCUCGUUAGUUUGGGUUUUAUAAACAAAGACAGAGUUUGGGGAGGUGAGCCAGAACCGUGCAGCAAGAAGCGUUAUGCAACUCAGUAUUUAUUUCUUUAGUGCAGUUAGAACUUAAAUAUGGUCAAAACAUAUUCUUCUUUUAAUUUACACAAACAAAUAUGUUCCCAGGCUGACACCUCGGGUGCCAAGUUUCUAGGGGAAACGAAAUUCUCCUCUGAGAUUAUAAACCACUAGAGAGAAGAUGGAAAUGGAAAAGCCACCGCGAGUCAGCUUCACACAUCCAGAACUGGGCUGCUAAGAGCUGUCUCUUUCUGUCUUAGCUGCGGAGAAACCUGCCAGUAAUUUCAGCAAAUGAAACGUGGGCCGCAGAAAGGCCAGAGGAUGGAAGAUGCUCCGGUUUUGACAAAAGGAGGUCUGCUCAGCUUGGAAUCCUCUCUCCUGUGAGUCAGGAGAUGGAAAGCUAUAUCCAGAGGGGCUGAUGAAUUGAGAGAAAAAAGAAACGAGGCCAGUGUGAGUCGCCUUUCAAGGGCUGUGCUAAUAUAAAACCAAACAACUUGAAAUUGUUCCAAGAGGGGAUUAAAGCAACAUGUUAUUUUGAGUGACUGCUUAAUUUAUUGAGCUGCGGCUAGAUCUGUAAUGAAAUACAGCCCUUGCAACUGAUAACCUCCCGCUGCAAUUGAACUUCUGCAAUUAAGGAAUAUUUUCCGAGAGUUUUCUCUGGAACAGCUUAGAAUUUUCAGUCUCUGUGGUGGGGUGCUUCUGAGCACUUGUUUUCCAGGCGAGCUUUUGGGUUUUUUUCCUUAAAGAAUGACGGGCUGACGUUAAUAAGGAAAAUAAGCUGCAAUUUACUGAAUGCCUUGUGUGCACCAGAUGCUUAAUAUACAUUACCUCUAAUCCUGACAACAGCCCAAUGAAGUAAUUUUUAUUAGGCCCUGUUUUAUAGACAUGAGGCUCCUAGAUGUUAGGUAAUUUUCCAGAGUGGCGUUGUCCAGGAUGGUAGCUACUGGCCACUUGUGGCUAUUUAUGUGUAAAUUAGUUAAAAUUUUAAAAAUCUAAAUAUUCGCUUCCUAGGUAGCACUAGCAACUGGUUCAAGUGCCCUACCUGUAUGUGGCCAGCGGCUAGCACAUUGGACAGCACAGAUGCAGGCCAUCUCGAUGACUGUAGAAAGUUCUGUUGACGAGUGCUGUUCCACAGAUCCCACAGGUAGAAAUUGGCAGUGCCAGGGUUCAAAACCAAGCUAAUGGGGUCCCAAGGCCACCUCUGCUAGCAUUAACCCUCUCUUCCUUCUGCUUUGGCUGAAAAGCAGUGAUUCUGAACCUGGCUGCACAUUAAAAUUACCUGGAUGCUUUGAAAACAAUAUGAUGUUAGGGUCCAGCCCCAGAGAUCCUGACUUCAUUGUGAUGGUGGGGGUGGGGACAGGCAUGAGGGUUUUUCUGAUUCCCUGUGUGACUCAGAUGUGCAGCCGGAAUCAAGAGCAGCUAGAUGAGAGGAUCCACACACAGGCUGGUGGAAGGAGCUGGUACAUCUGCCAUAGAAUGUGGUCCCUUCGGUACCUGCAAUGGGGCUCCCUCCAGGGCCACUUCUGAGCCUCCUCAACAGAGAGUUCAAGUUCAUUUCUGAGGGGAAGACUUAAGCGCCUUCUCACAUGCUUCCUGCUUGAUGGGAGACACGAUGAGGAGCUCUGCCUUUAGAAACAGGCUUUGUCACACUGCCAUGGAAGAAAGGAGAUGAGGAGGGAGGAUCACAAAGGGAAAAACCUCCAGUCCCAAAUCGAACUGGAAGCAUCAGUGUGAACUCAUGCUAUGUUUUGCCUUACGAAAUAAAGCAUGUAUCUCCUAGCUCCGUCCACUGAAAAGGUUAGAAAUAAUGAGCAGUUCAUAGCAUGAGCACCCCCAGCACCCAGGUUAUGGUCUCUAAACGCCACUUCUAACUAGGAAUCAGGGCUCUUUGGAGAUUCAGCAGAUUCCGGGUCUGAGGCAGGAAAUGUGCAAGACGAGCCUGAAACAUCUUGUCACCCAGGUAGCAUGGCAACUGUCAAAGACUUCUGGGGUCAUGUCAAAAAGGAUGCAGGGGACAGCAGGAAGAGGCUCCCACGGGCCAAAGAUGGGACAGUUUGAGCAUCAAGAAUAAUAAUUGCAGUGGACUGAAACAUGUCAUAUACGUCCAAAUCUAUGAGUUCACACUGACACUGAGAGAAACAAACCCAUUGGUCAUCUUUGGAGGAUGUUGGGAAACCAACUCAUUAUUUUGAAAAUUGUCAAUUAAAGGGAGAGAAUCAAGCAUUUACCCUUUCUUGUAUGAACCAUACCUUACAGUAACCAAACGUUGAAAAGUAAAGUUUCUUUUUAUGGAAGUAUUCCAGCUAACAAACAAGGACAGAAGGAUUGAAUUAGUACGCCACCAUUUUGCAAACCCUAAUGGAUAUAGCCGGUGAGCAUCAGUGGCUGCCGACAUCGCAAAGGGACAGCCAGACAUCAAGUGUCUUCAAAUGGAAAUGCAAAACAGCCACUAGGAAGUAGUCAGACAAACACACACACACAAAACAAACGUGAAUCUAAGUGAGCUUCUAGAUCUUACUAUUUACAAGAAAUACAGGGGGGAAAGGGACAUGUGUGACACUAAUAUGGGGCUGCAGUAAGCCAAAUCCAGACUGUAGGACACUCUACAGAACAACCAGCCCAGAGUCUUCAAGUGAGAAAAAGCGAGGGAGGGGCCAGCCUGGUGGCAUAGUGGCUAAGUUCGCUCAUUCCACUUUGGAGGCCCAGGGUUUGCAGGUUCAGAUCCUGGGCGCAGACCUAGCACUGCUCGCUAAACCAUGCUGUGGUGGCAUCCCACAUAAAAUAGAGGAAGAAUGGCACAGAUGUUAGCUCAGCAAUGACCUUCCUCAAGCAGAAAGAGGAAGAUUGGCAAGAGAUGUUAGCUCAGGGCCAAUCUUCCUCACAAAAAAAAAAAAGAAAAAGAAAAAAGGAAGGAGAGAGAACUUAUAGGUUGAGAGAGAUGUAAGAGACAUAUCAACCAAUUGCAAUGGAUGAACCGUAUAUGGAUCCUGAUUUUAACAAACUGUAAAGAAAACAUUUAUGAGAUAACCAGAGAAAUUUAAACAUUGACUAGAUAUAUGCUGAUGUUAAAGCAUUACUGUUAGUUUUAGUAGGGGUGAUGGUGGUGUAAAAAAUUCCUCCCCCUGGGGCCAGCCCUGUGGCAUAGUGGUUAAUUUCGGUGCACUCUGCUUUGACCGCCCAGGUUCACAGGUUUGGAUCCCAGGCGCAGACCUACACCACUCGUCAGCUGUGCUGUGGUGGUGACCCACGUACAACAGAGGAAGACUGGCACAGAUGUUAGCUCAGGGCGAAUCUUCCUCAAGCAAAAAAAAUAAAUAAAUAAAAAUCUCCCCCUCCCUUGUUUUGGAGUCAUACACUAAAAUGCUUGCAAAAAAAAUAAUUGCUGCCUGGAAUUUGCUUCCAAAUAUCUGCGAUGAGGGAGGAGGGGUGGUGAUAGAUGGAACACGAUUGGCCAAGAGUUGGUGAUUGUUGAGGCUGGGGUUCAUUGUACCGCAUACUCUACUCUUGUGUGUGCUUAAAAUUUUUCGUAAUAAAAAUAAAGACCAGCCUUUUCCUUCCUUUCUCUGAAGGGUCUGGGGUUGGUCUGCCCACCCACUGCUGGCAUCUCUGGGGCAAGCCUGGGUAGCAGGUUUCAGAUACAUCUCAUUGCAUACACACACACACACCCUCCUGUCUCCACGGCAACCAGUGAGGUGAGAAAGCAGCAUCCAGAAGGCUCCUGUCCACAUGAGGAUCAGGCCAGGCUGCCAGUGUCAUGCCAGGCCCACCAUCGCUGCCCCCUUUGGGAAAUUCCUAAUCGAAUCUUAGGAAUAGAUGGUCCCCUCACCACAUGUGCCUCCUUGCACCCCUUCCCCAUCCCUCUUGCCCUCCCUGUGAAACCCCAACUAGCAGAGGCCAAUUAGUGGCGAGAACAGGACCCUGAAUCAGAUUCAAGCCCAAAUUCUAACUUUACCACUUAACGGCAAGACCUUCAGCCAUCCUGAGCCUCAAUUUUCUCCCGUGUAAAAUGGGCAUGAUGUGACCUCCGCUAAGUCAAUAAAUCUUUAUUAUAGGGGGACAGUGGCAAAAAGGACCUAGUGUCCACCUCGUGGAAUAGACACUCGGAGGUGAAGGGCCAUCUUAAGAGAGUGUGAGUGCUGUGAUAAAGUACGUAUCAUAAAACUUGAGAUGUAAGGGUGCUUAAUCACAUCCUAAUUUUUUGAAAACUGGCAGUAACUACUUAGGAGAUGUCGUAACUCUCAAUCAUACUUCCUGUUAACCUGAACAUCCACAUUCUCCAACUGCCGAGGAUCCAGCUGUGUCAAAUGCACAGAAUAAUUUCCCUUAACUCAGUGCUCACAUUUCCGUGAGGGGAGUACUAUUAUUCCCAUUUUACGGAGACGGCAGCGAGGCAUGAAGAGGUGAGGGACCUUGCCCGAGGCUGCACUGUGGGUACAUGGUCCUGGCCUCUGUAUUUGGCCCUCUGCACUGAGUAAGCUUUGAAAUGCCGGGGCAUGGCCAGGACAUCAGAACUGCCAAGAGACCAACAGGCUCUCCAGGUCAAACUAUUUUGCAAACUAGGAAACAGUGGCCCAGAGAGACCAAGUAACUUGUCUUGGGCCACACAGCGAAUCAGCGGCUGAAUCUGUGUCCCAGCUGCUUGGGGAGAAGGUGCAGGGAAGCCCCAUGUGGUGAGGGAGCCUGGCUCUUCUGCCCCAUUUAAUCCUGUCCUAGAGUGAGGUGACCAGCCAUCCUGGGGUUUCCUGGGACCGGGGACUUUGAUGCUAAAACCAAGAAAGUUCUGGGCCAAGCAGGAUGAGUUGGUCACGCUGUCUCAUGAUGAGGCGUCUUAAUGGAUGUUCUCUAGGACAUCAGGCCCUGGGAUGGAGCUGGCUGACGAGAACCAUCAACAAGGCCCCAGAGAAGUGCUGAAGUUUCAUGCCUGUGGUCCCCUGGAGCCCCUGACUCAGCAGUGACACAUGAAUGAUGCUCCAUAAGUAGUCAUCCCAUGGACCAACCAAUGCCACCGUCACCUCCGACCCGGCCUCCUGCCGAAAUCACAGAAACCCUUUAUAGCCACCCUGACACCCAGUUCCCAUUUCAGACAGGCUGGUAUCCAUGAUGUCACGUGAUAGAAGAUGAUUCCAGAAAAAGACUGGCCAAGAGGCUCCUGGAGGGAGAGAUGGCAGCCAGGAUUGGGAGGUUUUUUUCUUUAUUAUACCUGUUCUGUCCACUAUUUCCUGGCUCUGUUCACAUCGCUGCUCCAGCACCAGCUCAGGGAAAAAAACGAAACAAAACAUGAGCCCCAGAAUUUGAGACAAGAUAGCUGGCUGGUUUCCUCUCUGCUUGUAAUUAAUGCUGGAAAUGUUCAUGACUUGCCUUGGCCGCAAAGGUAAUAAUAAAAGUCUGCAGCCUGAUUAUUUGGCUACUAAUUCCCUUCUUGGUGUUUUUCUUCCCCUUUCCUUAAAUUACUUCCAGAGUUCGUCCAGAUUUCUCGUUGCUAAGCUGUAAAGUUCCGGGCUUCGCAGGGCCCAUGCUGAUUGGCAGGGAGGCCCGGUCAGCUCCAAUCAGAAGCAGGUUGCCGAAAGGAGCAUCCACAUCGCAGCUCGCCCCGGGGUUUUGGAAUUUUCUCGCUGACGUUAUGAACCGCAGAGGUCUUUGUCUAACUCUGCAAAACCUGUUCUCUUGAUCUUGUCUGCCUCUCUCUGGAGCGCAGGCUGUUGGGGGACGCCAGAGGUCCUGGAAUUUCCCCCGGAAGGAUGGGGAGUCC